rnacentral:snRNA from 1 species
GUGCUCGCUUCAGCACCACAUAUACUAAAAUUGGAAAGAUACAGAGAAGAUUAGCAUGGCCUCUGUGCAAGGAUGACACGCAAAUUCGUGAAGUGUUCCAUAUUUUU